CCUCUUCUAUUCUCUAGCUAUCUCCUUUUCCUUUGAUGUUCCUUCACCUAGGUCAGUUUUAUGUCUUAGGAGAGGAUUGAAUAAACUAUAAAUUAAAGCUUUACAAAUCAAAUUCAUGCAUGAAGAAAUGAGUAGAUGUCAUUUCCUACACAUUUCUAAGCUUACCUUUGAUUUUCAAGCUUGGUGCAUAUGGAACCCUAAACUUUUCUUCUUCAAUUCUUUCAAUAUAUGGCUGUUCCUUUAGCUCUUGGUCUUAGGAUCAAUUUUGGUUAAAGGAAGAAGUUGAUUUGGUGAGAUUUGGCUUAGCUUUGGUGGAAGGAAAACAAAACCAAGCUUUGGUCUUCAAUGGAUGUGAGCUACGGCAAUGUGAGGAAGGAAGAAGACAAUCCCUUUUUCAUUUUGCUUUGUCAAUUCUCCUUUGCUUAGUUAGGUGACAUAUGGAAAGUAAAUCUGAAUUUUUAUGUUUUAACUUUCCA
rnacentral:lncRNA from 1 species